rnacentral:rRNA from 1 species
UAAGCGGAGGAAAGAAACUAACAAGGAUUCCCCUAGUAACUGCGAGUGAAGCGGGGAAAAGCUCAAAUUUAAAAUCUGGUGGUCUUUGGCCAUNCGAGUUGUAAUCUAGAGAAGCGUCUUUCCGCGCUGGACCGUGCACAAGUCUCCUGGAACGGAGCGUCGUAGAGGGUGAGAAUCCCGUCUUUGGCAUGGACACACCAGGGCUUUUGUGAUGCGCUCUCGAAGAGUCGAGUUGUUUGGGAAUGCAGCUCAAAAUGGGUGGUGAACUCCAUCUAAAGCUAAAUAUUGGCGAGAGACCGAUAGCGAACAAGUACCGUGAGGGAAAGAUGAAAAGCACUUUGGAAAGAGAGUGAAACAGUACGUGAAAUUGUUGAAAGGGAAACGCUUGAAGUCAGUCGCGUCGACCGAGACUCAGCCUCGCCUCGGCUUGGUGUACUUCUCGGCCCGACGGGUCAGCAUCAAUUUCGCCUCUUGGAUAAUGGCGAGGGAAACGUGACACCUUUACGGUGUGUUAUAGUCUCUCGUCGCAUGCAAGGGUCGGGAUUGAGGAACUCAGCACGCGCCUUUGGGCGUCGGGGCUUUGCCUACGAUACGUGCUUAGGAUGUUGGCGCAAUGGCUUUAAACGACC